GAUGAACGCUGGCGGCGCAUUUAAGACAUGCAAGUCGAACGAAAAUUUACGCUUAAAGAAUUGAUUAGUUUACUAAGAGAUGAUUUAUUGUAAAUUUUAGUGGCGGACUGGUGAGUAAUACAUAGGUAAUCUGCCUUUUAGAGGGGAAUAACUAGGAGAAAUCCUAGCUAAUACCGCGUAAGACCACACUUAGGCAUCUAAGAGAGGUCAAAGGAGUAAUCCGCUAAAAGAUGAGCCUGUGGCUGAUUAGUUAGUUGGUGGGGUAAGAGCCUACCAAGACGAUGAUCAGUAGCCGAGCUGAGAGGCUGGCCGGCCACAUUGGGACUGAGAUACGGCCCAGACUCCUACGGGAGGCAGCAGUUGGGAAUAUUGGACAAUGGAGGAAACUCUGAUCCAGUGACGCCGCGUGAAGGAAGAAGGUCUUCGGAUUGUAAACUUAUUUUAUCAGGGAAGAAGAAAGUGACAGUACCUGAAGAAAAAGGACCGG
rnacentral:rRNA from 1 species